AUUCUCUUUCGUUUGACAUUGUACCUUGAGUUUCCCAGGCAAAGAUCCCAGGUUUGAGUUCGGCUGGAUACAUGGAGAUGUACUUUGGGAAGACGUGAGGGGGCCAGCUGGAACCAAGGUUGCUUUUGAAGAGCCGCAAGAGGUUCCCCCUCCUCAUCCCGAGCACCCUCCCUGCCACGUGGGGACACGGCACCCGGCGCCUGCAGCCGGCGCGACGACCUCAAGCCAACCCCAGCCCCUGAAAGCCCCCCAAAUGCUGCAUUUCAGAGCUCCUUGGCUCUCAGUCCGAAAGCAAACCCCAGGGUCGCCUCCAGCGCCAGAAGCCUCAUCCCGCCAGAUCCGCCACGUGUGGAGGGAGGUCCACCAGCCCCCCUGUGCCCCACAGCCCCCCAGCACCAGCCCCGACAUCGGGUGCCUCGUGCAUCGCACCGGAGCACCAGCAUCUCCUGCAAACAUCGGCCAUGUCACCACCGGAGCACCAAGGCUGCCACAGAGCUGUUGGCCAAACGCAUCCAGACGCCACCUCCCGGGGUCCGUCUGGGGUUACCCGCUGCUCCCCGCAGCGGUCCCUCAUGGCACGUUCUGCGGUGGCGCUGCUGAAGGGUGGUCCGCACGUCCCCGGCUGGGAGCCAGCCCUUGCCCGGGGCACAGCGGCAGGCGCAGGAUGGGAUUCAUCCCCCUGGUCCCCCGCUGCUUCGCCCUGGCUUGGCUGCAGCGGGAGAGCAGAGGCCGCGGUGAUGGGCAGCAGGGCAGGGACAGCCGCGGGGCCGGGGCGGGGCACGGGAGGAGGGCAGGGCUGUGGGGAAGCACCAGCUCCAGCUCCGAGCGUGUUUAGAACAAUUUCCGCUUUAUUGCCAGAUGUGUCCGUGCUGGCCCCGCUGUGGCCCGGUGCCCCCUGGGGCAGCGGUGCGGAGCGGGGAGCACCGGGGCGAGGGGCCAGGGCUGGCCUGGGGGGUCUCUGUCCCCUCGGGAGCACGGCCCCGUGUUCACUCCCGUCCACGCACCCGGGCUGGAUUUGACCCUUCGGGAGGCUCCGCGCCCCUGGCAGUUGAUUCCCGUUCCCCUCGCUCCCAUGACUUGCACAUGGCUCCCUGCCCUCGCCGGGGCUGCAGAUUUAAGCCUGUAAUUCAGAUCCAGGCUGCGAAACUCAGGAAAAAAUAGAAAAAAAACCAAGAAAAAGAAGCGCUAUGAGAUGUCCCUGCUCCAGCCCCUGCCCGGCCCCAGCCCCGGCCCUGCUCCCGGCCCCGCCGCUGCCCAGCCCGGCGCAGGGGGCUGCCGUGCUGGGACGGGGCACUGGGACGGGGAGGGAAGCUCUGGGACGGGUCCGUUUUGCACAUGACUGCUCAGGAAGCCGGUGGUGGCGGUGGCGGUAGCCAGGGGACGGCGGCGAAGCGGGCUGCGGACACGCAGGGGGACGCCCCUGCAGAAACCCAGCACCGCCGCGUUGUCCGCUCUCGGAUAGGGGGUGUCUGGGGAAGGUGACUCCUGGCUGCCGAGCCGGCGGCUGGGCCGUGGGGUGGAGAUCCCCGGUUCUCGAAUGGGCUCUUCCCGGUGGAGCUGUCCCUGGCCGCUCGCUCCCUCCUCCCUCUGCGGGUGCAGAGGCGCUGGGGAGCGCCCGGGCGGCGGUGCCAGCCCCCCCGCGGGCCCGUGCUCCCGGUGGUGUACUGUUUAACGUGCCAGCUCCAGCUUGGUAAACUGCUCCUGCU
rnacentral:lncRNA from 1 species